UUAACUCAAUUUUGGAAUUGGAACGUUUGCCUACGUUUGCCGCUAGGGGCGCUGUUCCAACUGCAUACAAAUUUGAGUUA
rnacentral:pre_miRNA from 1 species